AACGAACGCUGGCGGCAUGCCUUACACAUGCAAGUCGAACGGCAGCGCGGGGCAACCUGGCGGCGAGUGGCGAACGGGUGAGUAAUAUAUCGGAACAUACCCUAGAGUGGGGGAUAACGUAGCGAAAGUUACGCUAAUACCGCAUACGCACUAAGGUGGAAAGUGGGGGAUUCGCAAGAACCUCAUGCUUAUGGAGUGGCCGAUAUCUGAUUAGCUAGUUGGUGAGGUAAAGGCUCACCAAGGCAACGAUCAGUAGCUGGUUUGAGAGAACGACCAGCCACACUGGAACUGAGACACGGUCCAGACUCCUACGGGAGGCAGCAGUGGGGAAUUUUGGACAAUGGGGGGCAACCCUGAUCCAGCAAUGCCGCGUGAGUGAAGAAGGCCUU
rnacentral:rRNA from 1 species